UUGAACGCUGGCGGCAUGCCUUACACCUGCCAGUCGAACGGCAGCACGGGUGCUUGCACCUGGUGGCGAGUGGCGAACGGGUGAGUAAUACAUCGGAACAUGUCCUGUAGUGGGGGAUAGCCCGGCGAAAGCCGGAUUAAUACCGCAUACGAUCUACGGAUGAAAGCGGGGGACCUUCGGGCCUCGCGCUAUAGGGUUGGCCGAUGGCUGAUUAGCUAGUUGGUGGGGUAAAGGCCUACCAAGGCGACGAUCAGUAGCUGGUCUGAGAGGACGACCAGCCACACUGGGACUGAGACACGGCCCAGACUCCUACGGGAGGCAGCAGUGGGGAAUUUUGGACAAUGGGCGAAAGCCUGAUCCAGCAAUGCCGCGUGUGUGAAGAAGGCCUUCGGGUUGUAAAGCACUUUUGUCCGGAAAGAAAUCCUUGGCCCUAAUACGGUCGGGGGAUGACGGUACCGGAAGAAUAAGCACCGGCUAACUACGUG
rnacentral:rRNA from 1 species